rnacentral:rRNA from 1 species
UGCUGAAAGCACCGGUUCUCGUCCGAUCGGGGAAGUAAAGCAUCAUCGGGCGCGGUCCAUACUUGGGAGGGUGCCACCAGGGAACACCGCGUGC